UAUUAGAGCAAGAGAGCUCUCUUGCUCUAAUAAAAUGACUGAUUCUUUUUGUUAAAGACUUUGUCUAGUUUGUCUAGUCUGAGCGCAACAAUAUUCCCUUGUCCUCAAAGUUAUGAAUAUAAAAUUGAAUAGCUUUAAACAGCUUUCAAUGCUUUAGUAUUAUUUACUCAUAACAUUUUUCUUGUAUAUUUGAAACACAUCUGCAGGGAUUCUUUAUUUUGGUGUUUGGAACACUUUUAGACAACAAGAUCCUUGAGGCUGUGGCAGGAGGACUGUCACUACGCAACCAUACCAACUUUAACCAUUCUAACCGUACCAGGAUUACUAGUGAAAUACCAUCAUCUUCAAGCGGAGAUAGUAUGGCUCUAAGGAGAAGAAAUGUGAAUGAUUCUAGAGGCAGUAGGUCCUCAAUUGCAUCUUCAAGCAGCUCAAACAGUGAAUCAAGUACUUUUAUGAAUGCAUAGGCUACAUCAUUAUAUAACAUACUGUAUUACAUUUUUAAAAAAUGUUAACAAAAGUACUUUCUAAACUGCAACUAUGUCAACUGCUUCGAAAAAAAGUACAAAUUUGAUAUUUCAUUAAGGAGGUAUGUUUUAACAAAAUUACAAAAUAAACAACAACAAAAAUUCA
ensembl:lncRNA